rnacentral:rRNA from 1 species
AAGUAUAAGCAAUUUAUACAGCGAAACUGCGAAUGGCUCAUUAAAUCAGUUAUGAUCUACAUGACAAAUUUUUUACUACUGGAUAACCGUGGUAAUUCUAGAGCUAAUACAUGCAGAAAAGCCCUGACUUCGGAAGGGGUGCACUUAUUAGGUAAAAACCAUCCCACCUUUACCGGUGGUUUUAUGGUGACUCAUAAUAAUUAAGCUGAUCGCAUGGCCUUGAGCCGGCGACGGUACAUUCGAUUUUCUGCCCUAUCAGGCUUAUGAUGGUAAGGUAGUGGCUUACCAUGGCUAUCACGGGUAACGGGGAAUUAGGGUUCGAUUCCGGAGAGGGAGCCUGAGAAACGGCUACCACAUCCAAGGAAGGCAGCAGGCGCGCAAAUUACCCAAUACCGACACGGUGAGGUAGUGACAAUAAAUAACAAUGCAGGGUCUUUAUGGUCUUUGCAAUUGGAAUGAGUACAAUUUAAAUCCCUUAACGAGGAUCAAUUGGAGGGCAAGUCUGGUGCCAGCAGCCGCGGUAAUUCCAGCUCCAAAAGCGUAUAUUAAAGUUGUUGCAGUUAAAACGUCCGUAGUCGAACUUACGCCUUGUGGCUAUGCAGCUGGUCAUUCAUUUGGCUAGAUUUGUUUUAGCCCGGGUGAUAAAGUUUGGGUAUGAUCAUGUUGGCUUCGGUCGGUGUGGUUCUCUGCCCAAGCGUAUUACCAUGAGCAAAUCAGAAUGCUCAAAGUAGGCCUUCGUGCCUGAAUGUGUUAGCAUGGAAUAAUGAAAUAGGACCCUAGUCUUGUUUUGUUGGUAUACUUGACCUUGGGAAAUGAUGAAUAGGAACGGUUGGGGGCAUUUGUAUUUGGUCGCUAGAGGUGAAAUUCUUGGAUUGACCGAAGACAAACAACUGCGAAAGCAUUUGACCUAGGACGUUUCCAUUGAUCAGGGACUAAAGUUGAGGGAUCGAAGACGAUUAGAUACCGUCGUAGUCUUAACCACAAACUAUGCCGACUAGCGAUUGGAUCCUCGCCACUGGCAGGAUUCAGCAGCUUAGCGAAAGUAAAGUUUUUGGGUU